AGGACGAACGCUGGCGGCGUGCUUAACACAUGCAAGUCGAGCGGAAAGGCCCUUCGGGGUACUCGAGCGGCGAACGGGUGAGUAACACGUGAGCAACCUGCCCCUGGCUCUGGGAUAGCCUCCGGAAACGGGGAUUAAUACCGGACAUUCACUCUUCUGGGCAUCCUAGAGGGUGGAAAGUUUUUUCGGCCGGGGAGGGGCUCGCGGCCUAUCAGCUUGUUGGCGGGGUAACGGCCCACCAAGGCGACGACGGGUAGCCGGCCUGAGAGGGCGACCGGCCACACUGGGACUGAGACACGGCCCAGACUCCUACGGGAGGCAGCAGUGGGGAAUAUUGCGCAAUGGGCGGAAGCCUGACGCAGCGACGCCGCGUGGGGGAUGAAGGCCUUCGGGUUGUAAACCCCUUUCACCAGGAGCGAAUCAAGACGGUACCUGGGGAAGAAGCGCCGGCUAACUACGUGCCAGCAGCCGC
rnacentral:rRNA from 1 species